UACGUAGGGGGCAAGCGUUGUCCGGAAUCAUUGGGCGUAAAGCGCGUGUAGGCGGCUGAGUAAGUCUGCUCUGAAAGCCCGGGGCUCAACCCCGGGAGGCGGGUGGAUACUGCUCAGCUCGAGUCCGGAAGAGGAGUGUGGAAUUCCUGGUGUAGCGGUGAAAUGCGCAGAUAUCAGGAGGAACACCAAUGGCGAAGGCAGCACUCUGGGACGGUACUGACGCUCAUGCACGAAAGCGUGGGGAGCAAACAGG
rnacentral:rRNA from 1 species